rnacentral:lncRNA from 1 species
UUUCUUCUAAUUUUUCCACUCACAGCAAACACACUCAACAACACCCAUCUACCGUCUUCUCAACAAUACAUACGGACACUCCAUUUUCCCUUUUCUUAUUCACGAAACUACCCAUCUAUAUACACCUACACAUACACACAGAAUAACACACACAUAAAAACCAGUGAUCUCUAUUUUUUUUCUUUCUCACGCACCAUCAUUUACACACUGUUACACACGCACAGAUCGGAGAGAGAGAGAGAGAACAGAGAGAGGAGAGAAACAACAACUCGUUCACGCUACUGUUUUGGUGACCUUUCGUCGCCGGAAAACGACGUCUCCUCACCGGAUUCAACACUAUUUCGGGAUAUAAAUUGAUUGGGAAUUUAGGUUCGGAAGCUGGGUUUUCGAUUUGAGUCGGAUUGCGGGUUUCUUCGCGGAUUCAAAUUGGUCGUUCUUAUUCAGGUUGAUUUUGGGUUACUGUUCCGACAGUAGCUUCACCGGAAUCGUCCCUUCCGUUCGUCGUUCGUAUAAAACGGUCAAACCUCCCUCCGUUGUUCUUCGAUUCUGGAUGAAAUCAGUCCGAUGAUUGGUUGUUCUGGUCGUCCGCAUCACCGGCGACUCAUCGGAGUCCGAACCCUGUGGGUGUUUGAUUUUCCGUUGGAUUUUAGCGAGCUUUUUGAGUCAUCGGUCUUUUGGGUUCUAUUUUGAAUCAUCGAGUUGGGUCUAAUUUGAAGUCGAAAUUCAUUUCGAGUUUGGUCGCGGUUAAGGUCGGCUUGAGGUUCCGGUCAUGGUUUUAAUCAAAAUAAUACAUCGAGUUUGAAAGCUACGAAUCGAGGUCCAAUUCUAUUCCCCUCUUUUAUUUAAUGUUUAUUAUAUUUUGGUGUGUUGGAG